ACAGCCUUCAGAAGAUUAUUAGAGUCUCAAUUUGAGGACUAAUUCCCUAAAGAGACAUGAAAAAUUCAACUAUGAUUUCAAACAUGACUGCCCUCAGGAUGUAUGUUGGUGGAGCAUUAACUGAGGAGCCAAACUCACCCUUGGCCUGCAUCACUACCCAAGGAGAUAUGUGAACUGUGAGAAGGCAACCAGUGGAGAGGGAAAGAGCCCAGGAAGGAAAAACAUGAUGUACAACAGCUGAAAAGGAAUUACCCAACAAAGGACCAGGGGAUUUUAAUCGUUUGAUCGACUCCUGACAAUUGGAGGUUUGACAUGUUUGUUUUUAAGAAGUCACUAACUCUUUUUGCCUGAAUCAGAGGAACAUUCAUGUGGCUGUUAGUCAUUCUGAACUUGGUAAGGACCUGAAGCACAGGCUGAAGGGUAGGUCCCAGGUAUCAGUGACUGAGGUAUUUAGCAAGGUCCAGCAGGACUCUAACAGCAUCCACUGCACCUUCCUUAUAAGUGGGAACUAUUAUGUGACAGAAUUAUAUGUUUCAUUUUUUUUCACCUGUGGAAGAUGGUUGUGAAGAUAAUAAAGUAACAUUCACUGAG